rnacentral:rRNA from 1 species
UUUAUUUUAAAAAUAAAAUUUGAUUUUUAACUUAAAAAGUUUAAAUAUUGUUAUAGGACGAGAAGACCCUAUAGAACUUUAUCUUAGUGUUUUUAUAUUUCUGGUUGAAAAUAAUUAUUAUUUAAUUUGGCUAGGAUUAUGUUGGGGUGACAGAAAAAAAUUAAUAACUUUUUUUAUUUUAAUCAYUUAUUUAUGAAUUUUUGAUCCUUUAUUAAGGAAAAUAAGAUCAAGUUACCUUAGGGAUAACAGCGUUAUUAYUUUAGAGAGUUCAUAUCUAUAAAAUAGUUWGCGACCUCGAUGUUGGAUUAAAAUAAGUUUCAGGAGUAGAAMAUUGAUYACUA